AUUGAACGCUGGCGGCAUGCCUUACACAUGCAAGUCGAACGGUAACAGGUUAAGCUGACGAGUGGCGAACGGGUGAGUAACGUAUCGGAACGUGCCCAGUCGUGGGGGAUAACUGCUCGAAAGAGCAGCUAAUACCGCAUACGACCUGAGGGUGAAAGCGGGGGAUCGCAAGACCUCGCGCGAUUGGAGCGGCCGAUAUCAGAUUAGGUAGUUGGUGAGGUAAAGGCUCACCAAGCCGACGAGCUGUAUCUGGUCUGAGCGGACGACCGGCCACACUGGGACGGAGACACGGCCCAGAGUCCGACGGGAGGCAGCAGUGGGGAAUUUUGAACAAUGGACGCAAGCCUGAUCCAGCCAUGCCGCGUGCGGGAAGAAGGCCUUCGGGUUGUAAACCGCUUUUGUCAGGGAAGAAAAGGUUCUGGCUAAUACCUGGGACUCAUGACGGUACCUGAAGAAUAAGCACCGGCUAACUACGUGCCAGCAGCCGCAGUAACAC
rnacentral:rRNA from 1 species